CACCCGGGAGCCGCACCUUCCAUGGAGCUCUUGAAAGCAACAGGUGGCCUCCAGAAGGGCCUGGUGUGAUAAACUGUUGCUCUCUUGGAAUGACAAACAGGGAGAGUAAAGGGCGAGGAGAUGGACCAGGAAGUGGUGCUGCACAGUAGUAAUUACUCCAGGUAGAUGAAGGUUCCAGACGACCAAACCCCGGGCCUUUUUGGGAACUGACUCAACACACUCCUUUAUUUGGAUCAAAAAUACAUUCUUACAGUACAAUGUAUUCCAUUGCAUGAUAUACUAUUUUACGAGAUGGGCAUCUGAGCUGUUUCCAGUUUGGGGCUGCUACAG